AGGACUGGAGAUUAAUUAUUGUGUUAAAUAUACAUUGUACGCUAGACGUAAUUUCAACGCAGAACAGGAGAUAUAUUAUCAACCCUAAUAGCUUUUGUAUAUAAAUCAAGGGUGCGAUGAAAAAAAAAAAACUCGAACUUGAUAAAGGACAUUUUGCACGUGUUAGGAAAACGGCUUUUAAUCGAUUACCGCUGCAAGACCGUUGUUAAGGGACUGUGUGUGAGAAAGAGAGAGAGAGAGAAAGACACCGUUCUAAAGGAAAACUACUGACAGCGUGUUAUCAAUCAGUAGCCGGUCGAAUUGAUUAUAUAAAACUUGUAACACGUCGUCUUCUAUACGCGAGUUUUACAAAGCUCCUUUGACGGACACUCUAAUCUUUCCCCCCUUCCGUUUUCAAUCACUACUCAAUUCAUCGACGCGCGUAUCCUGUCGAUAAUUCAUGACGUUCCGAGCAAAUGUACACCUUAUAAUAAACUGUAUUUAAUAUAAAUAUGCACAAUACAUGCGGUCAAUAAAUCCAACUAUAUUUCCUACAUCGAAUCUGAAAUUGUUGACAUGUUUUUACGAAUAUAUUGAAAAGCACUUUGUUAGGAUGAGGGAGGUCUACAAAAUAUAGUUAAUAUAUUU